CAGCAGUGGGGAAUUUUGCGCAAUGGGCGAAAGCCUGACGCAGCAACGCCGCGUGGAGGAUGAAGGCCUUCGGGUCGUAAACUCCUGUCAGAGGGGACGAAGGCCGGGCAACCUGGUUUGACUGUACCCUUAGAGGAAGCCACGGCCAACUCCGUG
rnacentral:rRNA from 1 species